CGCGAAUGGCUCAUUACAACAGCUAUAAUUUACUUGAAUUUGACAACCCUACUUGGAUACCGGUGGUAAUUCUAGCGCUAAUACAUGCACCAAAGCUCCGACCGCGAGGGAAGAGCGCAUUUAUUAGAACAAAACCACACGGCUUCGGCCGUCCAAUGUUGACUCAGAAUAACUAAGCUGAUCGCAUGGUCUUGCACCGGCGACGUUUCUUUCAAGUAUCUGCCUUAUCAACUUUCGAUGGUAGUGUAUCUGACCACCAUGGUGAUGACGGGUAACGGAGGAUAAGGGUUCGACUCCGGAGAAGGGGCCUGAGAAAUGGCCACUACGUCUAAGGAUGGCAGCAGGCGCGCAAAUUACCCACUCUCAGUACGAGGAGGUAGUGACGAGAAAUAACAAGACCGUUCUCACAAGAGGCCGGUCAUUGGAAUGGGUACAAUUUAAACCCUUUAACGAGUAUCUAUGAGAGGGCAAGUCUGGUGCCAGCAGCCGCGGUAAUUCCAGCU
rnacentral:rRNA from 1 species